GGGGUUGUGGCUCAGAGGUAGAGCACUCGCCUAGCAUGUGUGAGGCACUGGGUUUGAUCCUCAGCACCACA
rnacentral:tRNA from 1 species